CAGCCGCCGCGGUAAUACGUAGGUGGCGAACGUUGUCCGGAAUUAUUGGGCGUAAAGGGAGCGCAGGCGGACAUAUAAGUCCAUCUUAAAAGUGCGGGGCUCAACCCCGUGAGGGGAUGGAAACUGUAUGCCUUGAGUGCAGGAGAGGAAAGCGGAAUUCCCAGUGUAGCGGUGAAAUGCGUAGAUAUUGGGAGGAACACCAGUGGCGAAGGCGGCUUUCUGGACUGUAACUGACGCUGAGGCUCGAAAGCCAGGGGAGCGAACGGGAUUAGAUACCCCCGUAGUCCCUGUCUCUUAUACC
rnacentral:rRNA from 1 species